UACGUAGGGUGCAAGCGUUGUCCGGAAUUAUUGGGCGUAAAGAGCUCGUAGGCGGUUUGUCGCGUCGGAUGUGAAAACCCGGGGCUCAACCCCGGGCCUGCAUUCGAUACGGGCAGACUAGAGUUCGGUAGGGGAGUCUGGAAUUCCUGGUGUAGCGGUGAAAUGCGCAGAUAUCAGGAGGAACACCAGUGGCGAAGGCGGGACUCUGGGCCGAUACUGACGCUGAGGAGCGAAAGCGUGGGGAGCAAACAGG
rnacentral:rRNA from 1 species